rnacentral:tRNA from 1 species
UGCUCGGUGGUCGAGUGGUAAGACGUCUGCACCAGACAGCAGGAGGUCGUGGGUUCAAGCCCCACCCGAGUGA